AUUGAACGCUGGCGGCAUGCUUUACACAUGCAAGUCGGACGAGUGGCGAACGGGUGAGUAACGCAUCGGAACGUACCGAGUAAUGGGGGAUAACUGUCCGAAAGGACAGCUAAUACCGCAUAUUAUUCGAGCGGCCGAUGUCUGAUUAGCUGGUUGGCGGGGUAAAGGCCCACCAAGGCGACGAUCAGUAGCGGGUCUGAGAGGAUGUUCGGCAACAAGGGGAGUGAGACACGGCCCAGAGUCCUACGGGAGGAAGCAGUGGGGAAUUUUGGACAAUGGGGGCAAGCCUGAUCCAGCCAGGACGCGUGUGUGAAGAAGGCCUGCGGGUUGUAAAGGACGUUUGUCAGGGAAGCGGUACCUGAAGAAUAAGCACCGGCGAACUACGUGCCAGCAGCCGCGGUAAUAC
rnacentral:rRNA from 1 species